CAACGAUCAGUAGCCGACCUGAGAGGGUGACCGGCCACAUUGGGACUGAGACACGGCCCAAACUCCUACGGGAGGCAGCAGUGGGGAAUAUUGCACAAUGGGGGAAACCCUGAUGCAGCGACGCCGCGUGAGCGAAGAAGUAUUUCGGUAUGUAAAGCUCUAUCAGCAGGGAAGAAAAUGACGGUACCUGACUAAGAAGCACCGGCUAAAUACAUGCCAGCAGCCGCGGUAAUACGUAUGGUGCAAGCGUUAUCCGGAUUUACUGGGUGUAAAGGGAGCGUAGACGGCUGUGUAAGUCUGAAGUGAAAGCCCGGGGCUC
rnacentral:rRNA from 1 species